GCCUACACCUGCGUUACACAACACCAUCUCAUGGAUGAACAAGGGUGGGUAAAGCAGGUCUACAUCCAGCGCACCCUUAUCUUCUGUAACAAAGCUGCUGAAGAGGAUUAUGCUGCUGUUGCCUCAGAAACUUAGUCACCAGUGGAAAGAGAGCACAGAGAGGGGUGGGGAGUCCACGCAGAGAGUAGAAACAGACAGGCAGGCGAUACUACUGCUACAACCCUUCACACACACACAGCACCAGCUUUUUCUUUCUUUCUUUCUUUUUUUUAGGCUGACACAGAUUUUUUCUAAAACCUGCCACCAUGUGGCACCCUUUGAUUAUCGGCAUCAUGACAGUGAACACCUCUCUAACCGUCUUCUACUGGGCCUUCAUCCUGGGCGAUGCUUACUACAAGUGGCUGAUGGAGCCAGAAGACAAGCCCAAGAAGGUGGUCACCCCAGCUUGAGGGAGCCAGUAUGGAUCUACCUGAAUGAGUGACUGGAUGUUAUUUGCUUAGGAAUACUCUGCUCAGCUAGUAGUGCUUACAGUGAAUUUCUGCUUCUUUUUUUAUGUAUUCUUUUUUUUUUUUUAACUGGAAAAGCCUUGGAUUCCUGUUUUGAACUGAAAAAAUAACCUAAAGCAAUCUGCAAGUUGAUGAGAAGAAUCAUUCUUACAGGUAAAGUGUCAAUUUAUCUUAAUAUUUAUUUCGCAUCAUUUUAUUGUGUUUUAGCUACAUUUGUUGCUUGCAGUGUGAAUCAACACACACAUACACACUUCACACACCAUCCGCAGGCAACAGGUCCUUCAGGUGACACUAAAUGAACCGUUUAAGCUUUCUGCUGACUCGGUGAAAAGGUUUUGUUGGUGACAGUGGCAUGAGUCAAGCAAAUCCUGUUAGGAUUACUAAACUACUAAACACCACCUCUAAACUGGCACAGUUGGUGUUACUUUCGUAACAGCUUCAUCCUGAGACACAUUCAGAAACCCUCGUCUCAUCUCUCGUUUGCAUCUCUCCUGAAAGCUUAUUUUUCACUCUUCCUCCUUUUCCUUUUUCUCUCUAUUUUAUUUUAUUUUUUACAUCUCUCCACAACAUGUCGCACGUCUUCUACUGGGUUUUACAAACUUAACUGGAAAAAGGAAGAACAACAAGCCAAUGCCUAAAAUCCUGGUGGAAACCACAUCCACAUCCUGAUGCUGCACUGAGAAUAUUUAGCUGCUUCUGUACAGUUCACCCCAGAAUUCAAAAACAAAAAACCAGAGGAAUCGUCUCAACUCUUUGCUGCAGACUGGAUAUUUGGCCCCAAACCAGUGGAGGAUGAUUCAGAGGGAGGGGAUGCAGAAAUAGAGGAAGAGAGGCGACUCAGCGUUUCCAGCAAGCUGUUGGAGAAAGAUGAGAUCAGAAUGGAGGAAGAAAAAGAAGGCCAGCUGCCUGGUUUCCACCAGGGAGACGCAGGCCGCUGUCGUCCAUCCACCCCUCCGCUGAGAAGCGCCAUUGCUUCGUCAUACCCUGGAGAAAAAAGGAUUUCCACACAUAGCGUGACCUUCGCCUGCCCCGUGGCCCCUUACGUCACUUCCCUUUGAGUUUUUUCAUCACAGCAGUUUUUAUUACGUCUUAAUCACAGUGCAGUGAUCAGUGAUGUCCUCGCUGUAGUGAUGCAGAGGCUGAGGCACUCUUGUUUUAUGCUGGUGUUAUAGUUAGCGUGCAAAAAAUGUACAAGAAAAUGUUGUUAGUAAGCACGAUCCAUACUGUCAGUCUGUUUCUACUGCACCAUGCUGAAAUUCGCUGUCCAGCUGCUCGUGGUAAAAACUGUAAACAAAUUAAGUUUCAAGUAAAAAUAUCAGUUAUGUUAAUAACUUAACUUUACAUCUAAAAAUGUUCAUUGGAAACACACUGUGUCCAGUUCGUCCACAAGGCUAGACAGAAAGUGUUGUGAAAUUGCAAAAUCAAAAAGACUUGUCAUGUUACAUGUGCUUGUAAUGUGUUUCUAAAGAAAACGUACAUCACUUCUCCUGGUGUUGGACUAAGCUUCUCCCCAAUAAACAACUCGAUAAUACACGCUCGUUCCUCCUGUCUUGUCUGCUUUCAUUAAUCCAUCUUACCUUCUCCUAAUACCUGCUUGUGCCCAGGGUGAUGACCUUGUUUAUAAAUGCAGAGGAUUAUUGCACUUGAGCAUAUUAAAUACAGCUGAGUGAUGUAAGAUAGAUAGAUAGAUAGAUAGAUAGAUAGAUAGAUAGAUAGAUAGAUAGAUAGAUAGAUAGAUAGAUAGAUUUCUACAGAGAGAAAAACAGGAAUCUUGUUCACAUGAGAUACAGCUUUGCAUUUAUUUUAAAUCUUACUUUAGCAGUCAUUAGUCAUAAGGCUGAUCAGCUGUGAAUUAGAGGAUCUUCACAGCUUCCUUGAUUCAUGCAAAGAGUUUCAUUCACGAUUUCCUGAAUUUUGAGUAAUUUUGCUGUUGUUACAAUGCUGACAUUGGAGAAUGUGAUAUUUCCUCCUGAUCUCUUUGUAUUUUGCACAGAACGUUCUGUGCGAUUAAAUCUUUGUGCCGGCUUCUUAAUACAGCGAUGACCCACAGAUAUUAACUGGACUCGCAGGCUGACAGCAGAGGCAGCCAGACUGCAAUGGACAGCUUAAACGUUCGUCACAAAGAGGAAGAUGGCACAGUGUUAUUUGAGUCAUAUAUCCCUCCUUCUCGGGAUGCUAUCCACCUGCCCACCUACGUCCUCUACUUGCUCAUAGCCGUCUUCGUCGUGUUUUCGGUUCUCUACGCCAUCACGGGCCACCUCAUCAAAGACCUCAUCCAUGACUGUGCAGACUGGCUGUUUGGGGAGCAGCCUGCAGAAGUGGUGGUGAACUACUGUGAGGCCAAGGAUAAGUUCAUGGCAGACUGGUCCCCACAAACCAGCCCUGAAGUAGAGGCAAUGGCCCGGGAAGAGGAGAACAAGGUGAUUGACAGAGACUUUAUGAAAUCCCCUGCCAUCUGGAUCAUCUCUACAGAACCACAAGGGGCAAAAACAGGACCCCGGGUGGUCUUUGGGAAUAGGACUUGAACCCAUCAGAGACUUGCUGUCGUUACAGACCUUCUGUAUGUGAUGUGAAUGUAUAAAUAUCUAGAUGGAUGAUGAAGGUAAAGAACCAUUUCUGUGUGAGGCUCAAAAUAGAUUAUUAGAUUUAAUUUCAAUAUUUUGCAAAAUAAGAUUAAAAAGUAAGAUUAAAGAUUUUAGUAUAAGCCUUCGUGUGGAUUUUUUUUAAAUAUAAAUGUUUUGUGGAACAUGUGCAUGUAGCACUGAUCUAUCAUGUGGAGUAGUAAACAAGUAUCUUGUGAAAAUAGUUCUGAAAAGUUAAGCCAUGAAAGUAAUGGUACAAUUACACUCUUCUCAAUAAUAAUGAUGAUUUGUCUGUUAACAAUAAUUAUCAUUAUUAUUAUUUUUAGGUAGCCUCAGUUGGUCUGCUGCUGAAUUUAUUUAUUAAUUAUUUAUGUUUGUGUUUAUAUUCAGCUUUUUCACGUUUGGAUAAGGUGUAACUUCGUAACUACUGUAUAGAAAUGUACACCGCACAAAAAGGACAAGGCAGCUAAUUUGGCAGCAGACAUUUCUAAACAGAAUAUAAUGCUGCACAGUAAACAGGACCACCCCACUUGCAUUUGAGAUGCAAUGGUAAGCGAGAAAAGCACCUCCUGUGGUGAGAUGCAUGGCACUGCACGCUGAGACAGUGACGUGGUCUAAUGUUAUUCCAAACUCGCAGUUUCUCAUUAAGUUUCUUCAUUUAAAUGUGAAUGUAACUGCCUCUCUUUUUGUGUAUAAUGGCUGAAGGCUUCAGCGGUCCUAUAAGGACAUCUAGUGUCUGCUGUAGUCAUUACAGCUGAAUAUUAUUUCAAACUGGAAAACCUCUGGAAAUAAGGUAACUCAUUUAAAAAAAAGAGAGAGAGAGAAAAUAUGACAAUGAUCUUCAGAAUCUUUGAUUUCAACAAUUAAUAUUUUAUAUCUUAAAAAUGUGGUAGGUAGUUGCACUUUAUUCUACAUUUCUCCUUUACUUUCAUGUAUUUAUUUAUUUGAGAAAGCUCUAAACUCACUCCACACGCUUUAGAGUUUUCAGACCUUUUCACAAACGUAUUCUACAUUUCAUAGACUAUUUAGUUUCUCAUAAGUCUAAAGAUCAGUCGUAGAUUUCGAUGCAAAAUCAAUCAGUAAAUAAAUAAAUAAAAGCUUUUCCAGUUGUCUGUAAA
ensembl:lncRNA